rnacentral:rRNA from 1 species
CCUACGGGUGGCAGCAGUGGGGAAUAUUGCACAAUGGGGGAAACCCUGAUGCAGCGACGCCGCGUGAGUGAAGAAGUAUUUCGGUAUGUAAAGCUCUAUCAGUAGGGAAGAAAAUGACGGUACCUGAUUAAGAAGCCCCGGCUAACUACGUGCCAGAAGCCGCGGUCAUACGUAGGGGGCAAGCGUUAUCCGGAUUUACUGGGGGUAAAGGGUGCGCAGGCGGAGGGGCAUGUCAGCGGUAAAAUUGCGGGGCUCAACCCCGUACUGCCGUUGAGACUGCAUCCCUAGAGUGCGCGAGAAGUAUGCGGAAUGCGUGGUGUAGCGGUGAAAUGCAUAGAUAUCGCGCAGAACUCCGGUUGCGAAGGCAGCAUACCGGCGCGCAACUGACGCUCAUGCACGAAAGCGAGGGGAUCGAACAGGAUUAGAUACCCCAGUAGUC